AGUGAACGCUGGCGGUAGGCCUAACACAUGCAAGUCGAACGGCAGCACAGUAAGAGCUUGCUCUUACGGGUGGCGAGUGGCGGACGGGUGAGGAAUACAUCGGAAUCUACUUUUUCGUGGGGGAUAACGUAGGGAAACUUACGCUAAUACCGCAUACGACCUACGGGUGAAAGCAGGGGAUCUUCGGACCUUGCGCGAUUGAAUGAGCCGCUGUCGGAUUAGCUAGUUGGCGGGGUAAAGGCCCACCAAGGCGACGAUCCGUAGCUGGUCUGAGAGGAUGAUCAGCCACACUGGAACUGAGACACGGUCCAGACUCCUACGGGAGGCAGCAGUGGGGAAUAUUGGACAAUGGGCGCAAGCCUGAUCCAGCCAUACCGCGUGGGCGAAGAAGGCCUUCGGGUUGUAAAGCCCUUUUGUUGGGAAAGAAAAGCAGCAGGUUAAUACCCCGCUGUUCUGACGGUACCCAAAGAAUAAGCACCGGCUAACUUCGUG
rnacentral:rRNA from 1 species